rnacentral:rRNA from 1 species
UACGUAGGGGGCUAGCGUUGUCCGGAAUCAUUGGGCGUAAAGGGCUCGUAGGCGGCCAACUAAGUCCGACGUGAAAUCCCAAGGCUUAACCUUGGAACUGCGUCGGAUACUGGAUGGCUUGAAUUCGGGAGAGGGAUGCAGAAUUCCAGGUGUAGCGGUGAAAUGCGUAGAUAUCUGGAGGAACACCGGUGGCGAAGGCGGCGUUCUGGACUGCAACUGACACUGAUGAACGAAAGCCAGGGGAGCAAACGGG